AGUGAACGCUGGCGGUAGGCCUAACACAUGCAAGUCGAACGGCAGCACAGUAAGAGCUUGCUCUUACGGGUGGCGAGUGGCGGACGGGUGAGGAAUACAUCGGAAUCUACUUUUUCGUGGGGGAUAACGUAGGGAAACUUACGCUAAUACCGCAUACGACCUACGGGUGAAAGCAGGGGAUCUUCGGACCUUGCGCGAUUGAAUGAGCCGAUGUCGGAUUAGCUAGUUGGCGGGGUAAAGGCCUACCAAGGCGACGAUCCGUAGCUGGUCUGAGAGGAUGAUCAUCCACACUGGAACUGAGACACGGUCCAGACUCCUACGGGAGGCAGCAGUGGGGAAUAUUGGACAAUGGGCGCAAGCCUGAUCCAGCCAUACCGCGUGGGUGAAGAAGGCCUUCGGGUUGUAAAGCCCUUUUGUUGGGAAAGAAAAGCAGCAGGUUAAUACCCCGCUGUUCUGACGGUACCCAAAGAAUAAGCACCGGCUAACUUCGUG
rnacentral:rRNA from 1 species